rnacentral:rRNA from 1 species
GACGAACGCUGGCGGCGUGCUUAACACAUGCAAGUCGAACGGAAAGGCCCUGCUUGCAGGGUGCUCGAGUGGCGAACGGGUGAGUAACACGUGGGUGAUCUGCCCCUUACUUUGGGAUAAGCCUGGGAAACUGGGUCUAAUACUGGAUAGGACCAUGCUGUAGGUGGUGUGGUGGAAAGAUUAGUUUCGGUAAGGGAUGAGCUCGCGGCCUAUCAGCUUGUUGGUGGGGUAAUGGCCUACCAAGGCGUCGACGGGUAGCCGGCCUGAGAGGGUGGACGGCCACAUUGGGACUGAGAUACGGACCAGACUCCUACGGGAGGCAGCAGUGGGGAAUAUGGCACAAUGGGCGCAAGCCUGAUGCAGCGACGCCGCGUGGGGGAUGACGGCCUUCGGGUUGUAAACUCCUUGCAGCCAUGACGAAGCCCUUGUGGUGACGGUAGUGGUAGAAGAAGCACCGGCUAACUACGUG